rnacentral:tRNA from 1 species
AGAGAGUUGCCGGAGCGGUCGAACGGGUUCGCUUGGAAAGCGGAAGUACUCCAAAAGGGUACCGGGGGUUCGAAUCCCUCACUCUCUG